GAUCCAAACUGCCAAUGCCCCUCUCCCUUCUUAUCUUAUUUUUAAUAUACCCUUUUAAGAAACUUCUCAUGCCCCUCCAACACCUUCUUUCCUACACACAUCCAACUCCUUUCAUAUCUUCAAAACCAAGCACCAUGCCCUAACAAACUUCCUUUUAUAUCUCAACUUCUCCACGUUAUCUUUCUUUCCUUUCUUCACAACAAUCCCAUGUGCCUCA
rnacentral:lncRNA from 1 species